rnacentral:tRNA from 2 species
UCUUAUUCCAAUUCCAACCCAAGUGUUUUGGAUAGCUACGAUAC